rnacentral:rRNA from 1 species
GAUGAACGCUAGCGGCAGGCUUAAUACACGCAAGUCGAGGGGUAGCAAGAUUGUAGCAAUACAAUUGUUGACGACCGGCAAACGGGUGCGGAACACGUACACAACCUUCCUACAAGUGGGGAAUAGCCCAGAGAAAUUUGGAUUAAUACCCCGUAACAUAGCGAUGUGGCAUCACAUUGCUAUUAUAGCUUCGGCGCUUGUUGAUGGGUGUGCGGCUGAUUAGAUAGUUGGCGGGGUAACGGCCCACCAAGUCUACGAUCAGUAGCUGAUGUGAGAGCAUGAUCAGCCACACGGGCACUGAGACACGGGCCCGACUCUUACGGGAGGCAGCAGUAAGGAAUAUUGGACAAUGGACGCAAGUCUGAUCCAGCCAUGCCGCGUGAAGGAUUAAGGUCCUCUGGAUUGUAAACUUCUUUUAUAAGGGACGAAAAAAGGUCUUUCUAGAUCGUCUGACGGUACCUUAUGAAUAAGCACCGGCUAACUCCGUGCCAGCAGCCGCCGUAACAC